rnacentral:rRNA from 1 species
GACGAACGCUGGCGGCGUGCUUAACACAUGCAAGUCGAACGAAGAGCGAUGGAAGCUUGCUUCUAUCAAUCUUAGUGGCGAACGGGUGAGUAACGCGUAAUCAACCUGCCCUUCAGAGGGGGACAACAGUUGGAAACGACUGCUAAUACCGCAUACGAUCUAAUCUCGGCAUCGAGGAUAGAUGAAAGGUGGCCUCUACAUGUAAGCUAUCACUGAAGGAGGGGAUUGCGUCUGAUUAGCUAGUUGGAGGGGUAACGGCCCACCAAGGCGAUGAUCAGUAGCCGGUCUGAGAGGAUGACCGGCAACAUUGGAACUGAGACACGGCCCAGACUCCUACGGGAGGCAGCAGUGGGGAAUCUUCGGCAAUGAACGAAAGCCUGACGGAGCAAGGCCGCGUGGGUGAUGACGGCCUUCGGGUUGUAAAGCUCUGUUAUUGGGAACGAAGGGCCUUCUGGCAAUAGGUGGGAGGGAUGACGGUACCGGAAGAGAAAGCCACGGCUAACUACGUG